UACGUAGGGUGCGAGCGUUGUUCGGAAUUACUGGGCGUAAAGCGCACGUAGGCGGAUUUGUAAGUCAGGGGUGAAAUCCCGGGGCUCAACCUCGGAACUGCCUUUGAUACUGCAAAUCUCGAGUCCGGAAGAGGUGAGUGGAAUUCCUAGUGUAGAGGUGAAAUUCGUAGAUAUUAGGAAGAACACCAGUGGCGAAGGCGGCUCACUGGUCCGGUACUGACGCUGAGGUGCGAAAGCGUGGGGAGCAAACAGG
rnacentral:rRNA from 1 species